rnacentral:rRNA from 1 species
GAGUAGGGCGGGACACGUGGUAUCCUGUCUGAAUAUGGGGGGACCAUCCUCCAAGGCUAAAUACUCCUGACUGACCGAUAGUGAACCAGUACCGUGAGGGAAAGGCGAAAAGAACCCCGGCGAGGGGAGUGAAAAAGAACCUGAAACCGUGUACGUACAAGCAGUGGGAGCACGCUUAGGCGUGUGACUGCGUACCUUUUGUAUAAUGGGUCAGCGACUUAUAUUCUGUAGCAAGGUUAACCGAAUAGGGGAGCCGAAGGGAAACCGAGUCUUAACUGGGCGUUAAGUUGCAGGGUAUAGACCCGAAACCCGGUGAUCUAGCCAUGGGCAGGUUGAAGGUUGGGUAACACUAACUGGAGGACCGAACCGACUAAUGUUGAAAAAUUAGCGGAUGACUUGUGGCUGGGGGUGAAAGGCCAAUCAAACCGGGAGAUAGCUGGUUCUCCCCGAAAGCUAUUUAGGUAGCGCCUCGUGAAUUCAUCUCCGGGGGUAGAGCACUGUUUCGGCAAGGGGGUCAUCCCGACUUACCAACCCGAUGCAAACUGCGAAUACCGGAGAAUGUUAUCACGGGAGACACACGGCGGGUGCUAACGUCCGUCGUGAAGAGGGAAACAACCCAGACCGCCAGCUAAGGUCCCAAAGUCAUGGUUAAGUGGGAAACGAUGUGGGAAGGCCCAGACAGCCAGGAUGUUGGCUUAGAAGCAGCCAUCAUUUAAAGAAAGCGUAAUAGCUCACUGGUCGAGUCGGCCUGCGCGGAAGAUGUAACGGGGCUAAACCAUGCACCGAAGCUGCGGCAGCGACGCUGAUGCGUUGUUGGGUAGGGGAGCGUUCUGUAAGCCUGCGAAGGUGUGCUGUGAGGCAUGCUGGAGGUAUCAGAAGUGCGAAUGCUGACAUAAGUAACGAUAAAGCGGGUGAAAAGCCCGCUCGCCGGAAGACCAAGGGUUCCUGUCCAACGUUAAUCGGGGCAGGGUGAGUCGACCCCUAAGGCGAGGCCGAAAGGCGUAGUCGAUGGGAAACAGGUUAAUAUUCCUGUACUUGGUGUUACUGCGAAGGGGGGACGGAGAAGGCUAUGUUGGCCGGGCGACGGUUGUCCCGGUUUAAGCGUGUAGGCUGGUUUUCCAGGCAAAUCCGGAAAAUCAAGGCUGAGGCGUGAUGACGAGGCACUACGGUGCUGAAGCAACAAAUGCCCUGCUUCCAGGAAAAGCCUCUAAGCAUCAGGUAACAUCAAAUCGUACCCCAAACCGACACAGGUGGUCAGGUAGAGAAUACCAAGGCGCUUGAGAGAACUCGGGUGAAGGAACUAGGCAAAAUGGUGCCGUAACU